rnacentral:rRNA from 1 species
UGGCGGACGGGUGAGUAAUGUCUGGGAAACUGCCUGAUGGAGGGGGAUAACUACUGGAAACGGUAGCUAAUACCGCAUAACGUCGCAAGACCAAAGAGGGGGACCUUCGGGCCUCUUGCCAUCGGAUGUGCCCAGAUGGGAUUAGCUAGUAGGUGGGGUAACGGCUCACCAGGCGACGAUCCCUAGCUGGUCUGAGAGGAUGACCAGCCACACUGGAACUGAGACACGGUCCAGACUCCUACGGGAGGCAGCAUG